GAGCCGGAGGGAAACCGAGUCUUAAUUGGGCGUUAAGUUGCAGGGUAUAGACCCGAAACCCGGUGAUCUAGCCAUGGGCAGGUUGAAGGUUGGGUAACACUAACUGGAGGACCGAACCGACUAAUGUUGAAAAAUUAGCGGAUGACCUGUGGCUGGGGGUGAAAGGCCAAUCAAACCGGGAGAUAGCUGGUUCUCCCCGAAAGCUAUUUAGGUAGCGCCUCGUGAAUUCAUCUCCGGGGGUAGAGCACUGUUUCGGCUAGGGGGCCAUCCCGGCUUACCAACCCGAUGCAAACUGCGAAUACCGGAGAAUGUUAUCACGGGAGACACACGGCGGGUGCUAACGUCCGUCGUGAAGAGGGAAACAACCCAGACCGCCAGCUAAGGUCCCAAAGUCAUGGUUAAGUGGGAAACGAUGUGGGAAGGCCCAGACAGCCAGGAUGUUGGCUUAGAAGCAGCCAUCAUUUAAAGAAAGCGUAAUAGCUCACUGGUCGAGUCGGCCUGCGCGGAAGAUGUAACGGGGCUAAACCAUGCACCGAAGCUGCGGCAGCGACGCUGAUGCGUUGUUGGGUAGGGGAGCGUUCUGUAAGCCUGUGAAGGUGGCCUGUGAGGGUUGCUGGAGGUAUCAGAAGUGCGAAUGCUGACAUAAGUAACGAUAAAGCGGGUGAAAAGCCCGCUCGCCGGAAGACCAAGGGUUCCUGUCCAACGUUAAUCGGGGCAGGGUGAGUCGACCCCUAAGGCGAGGCCGAAAGGCGUAGUCGAUGGGAAACGGGUUAAUAUUCCCGUACUUGGUGUUACUGCGAAGGGGGGACGGAGAAGGCUAUGUUGGCCGGGCGACGGUUGUCCCGGUUUAAGCGUGUAGGUGUGUGUUCCAGGUAAAUCCGGUUCACUUUAACACUGAGGCGUGAUGACGAGGCACUACGGUGCUGAAGCAACAAAUGCCCUGCUUCCAGGAAAAGCCUCUAAGCAUCAGGUAACAUCAAAUCGUACCCCAAACCGACACAGGUGGUCAGGUAGAGAAUACCAAGGCGCUUGAGAGAACUCGGGUGAAGGAACUAGGCAAAAUGGUGCCGUAACUUCGGGAGAAGGCACGCUGACACGUAGGUGAAGUGAUUUACUCAUGGAGCUGAAGUCAGUCGAAGAUACCAGCUGGCUGCAACUGUUUAUUAAAAACACAGCACUGUGCAAACACGAAAGUGGACGUAUACGGUGUGACGCCUGCCCGGUGCCGGAAGGUUAAUUGAUGGGGUCAGCGCAAGCGAAGCUCCUGAUCGAAGCCCCGGUAAACGGCGGCCGUAACUAUAACGGUCCUAAGGUAGCGAAAUUCCUUGUCGGGUAAGUUCCGACCUGCACGAAUGGCGUAAUGAUGGCCAGGCUGUCUCCACCCGAGACUCAGUGAAAUUGAACUCGCUGUGAAGAUGCAGUGUACCCGCGGCAAGACGGAAAGACCCCGUGAACCUUUACUAUAGCUUGACACUGAACAUUGAGCCUUGAUGUGUAG
rnacentral:rRNA from 1 species